GGAGGAGGAGGAGGAGGAAGAGGCAGGAGUUGGCAGAGGGAGAGCCCGCGGCGCAGCGCCGGGGUCUGCAAGAGACACAGAAAAAGAGAGAGAGAGAGAGGGACGGGGAAGAAUUCAGGACACCAACCAGGAAAAGUCAAUCAUCAAGUCAGUGGGACAUAAGCUGCAAUCAAAUCCAAUGACAUUGCUUUCCAUGGGAUCUGGCAUAACUAGAGUUGGGUCUGCUGCCUUUGCAUCCCAUUUACAUAAGGAGCUGCCUUAUACUGAGCCAUGCCACUGGUGCAUCCAGACUUCAACGCAGUUCUUAGAAGCCCAGAUGCCCCGUUUCGAAAUAUGUGGAAACCGCAGGCAUGCCUAUCCUAUUUUUUAUUAGAUCGUGGCUGCAAGUUCCAUUAAGCAUCGACAGAAGUAUCAAGCGGUUUAUUACAGACAGUAGAAGAAGAAGAAGAACAGAACUGUACAUUUUCUGUGAUUCUGUACAAGUGCACAUGAGUGCUGGGUGAAGAAUUCAGCUUUGGAAAUCUCUGUCAUUUUAAGGAACAGCCGAGUUUCUAGCCCUCAUGAAUGCAAAGAGUGUGUGGGAAAUGUGUGGUGACAUCUAAGGAACAGUCAAGUUUCUAGCCCACAUGGAUGUAAAGAGCUUGUAGACAAUGCGUGGUCUCAUGCCAGAGAGCUGGUUGGAUCAGAUUUCCAUGGUUGAGAGAGCGAUGGCUUCAGUGUUUUUCAUAGUUCCUUACUCUUCUACAUCAGGGGCAGGCAGAAGGUAGGAUGGGAUCUAUUAGUAGUACCCUGCUUACUGGCAAAGAGGCACCUUUUAACGUGGUGAUUCUCUUUUAUUUAGCAGGGGGAGAGCAACUGGCCUUAUCCAUUCCCAGCACAGCAUCCCUCUAGUGACUGCUGCUGGUGUCUAUCUUAUGUUUCUUUCUAGAUUGUGAACCCUUUGGGGACAGGGAUCCAUCUUAUUUAUUUAUUUAUUUAUUAUUUCUCUGUGUAAACCGCCCUGAACCAUUUUUGGAAGGGCUGUAUAGAAAUUGAAUAAAUAAUAAUACUGGACAAAGAGG